GAACAAAAAAGUAUAAUGAUAGCGUGUUGGACUUCGGAUCCAAAGGUUGCGGGUUCGAGUCCCGUCUUGGUCG